rnacentral:rRNA from 1 species
AGCGAACGCUGGCGGCGUGCCUAACACAUGCAAGUCGAACGGAUCCGGGGGGCAACCCCCGGGUUAGUGGCGAACGGGUGAGUAACACGUGGGUCAUCUCCCCCCGAGUGAGGAAUAAGCCUGCGAAAGCGGGUCUAAUACCGCAUGACGCCCCGAGACAUCAGUCUUCGGAGUUAAAGCUGCAAAGCGCUUGGGGAUGAGGCCUGCGUCCUAUUAGCUAGUUGGUAGGGUAAUGGCCUACCAAGGCGAUGAUGGGUAGCCGGCCUGAGAGGGUGAACGGCCACACUGGGACUGAGACACGGCCCAGACUCCUACGGGUGGCAG